rnacentral:rRNA from 1 species
AUACGUAGGGGCCAAACGUUGUCCGGAUUUAUUGGGCGUAAAGGGCUCGUAGGCGGUUUAACAAGUCGGUCGUGAAAGCCCGGGGCUCAACCCCGGGACGCCGGUCGAAACUGUUAUGACUAGGGUCCGGUAGAGGUGAGUGGAAUUCUCGGUGUAGCGGUGGAAUGCGCAGAUAUCGAGAGGAACACCAGUAGCGAAGGCGGCUCACUGGGCCGGUACCGACGCUGAGGAGCGAAAGCAUGGGGAGCAAACAGGAUUAGAUACCCUGGUAGUCC